GCAUAUCAAUAAGCGGAGGAAAAGAAACCAACAGGGAUUGCCCUAGUAACGGCGAGUGAAGCGGCAACAGCUCAAAUUUGAAAGCUGGCUCCGGCCCGCAUUGUAAUUUGCAGAGGAUGCUUUUGGUGAGGUGCCUUCCGAGUUCCCUGGAACGGGACGCCAUAGAGGGUGAGAGCCCCGUAUGGAUGGACACCAAACCUGUGUAAAGCUCCUUCAACGAGUCGAGUAGUUUGGGAAUGCUGCUCAAAAUGGGAGGUAAAUCUCUUCUAAAGCUAAAUACCGGCCAGAGACCGAUAGCGCACAAGUAGAGUGAUCGAAAGAUGAAAAGCACCUUGAAAAGGGGGUUAAACAGUACGUGAAAUUGUUAAAAGGGAAGCGCUUGUGACCAGACUUGCGCCGGGCAGCUCAUCAGGGGUUCUCCCCUGUGCACUCUGCCCGGCUCAGGCCAGCAUCGGUUCUCGUGGGAGGAUAAGAACAGUAGGAAUGUGGCCCCCUCUCGGGGGGGUGUUAUAGCCUAUUGUACGAUACUCUCGUGGGGACCGAGGUUCGCGCUCCGCAAGGAUGCUGGCGUAAUGGUCAUCAGCGACCCGUCUUGAAACCACGGGACCAA
rnacentral:rRNA from 1 species